rnacentral:rRNA from 1 species
GCAAGUCGAACGAGAAAACUAUUCGGAGUGAGUAGAGUGGCGCACGGGUGAGUAACACGUAGGUGACCUAUCAUACAGAGGGGGAUAACUAGAAGAAAUUCUGGCUAAUACCGCAUACGAAGCACAAAUUUAAAAGUAGUGCUUGAAAGGAUGCUCCGGCAUUCGCUGAAUGAUGGGCCUGCGUAGCAUUAGUUUGUUGGUGAGGUAACGGCUUACCAAGACUACGAUGCUUAGCUGGUCUGAGAGGAUGAUC